GCUGCCUCGGCCUCCCAAAGUACUGGGAUUACAGGCAUGAGCCACCGCACCCAGCCAAAUUGGGGACUUUUAACAGUCAUUUUACCUGUAGAAUAAUCAAAACUCUUCACUUGAUCUGUAGUCAUAGCUAUUAACACAGAAAAAUGAAUGCCAGUUAUGUUGCCAUAAACCACCUUCUGAACUUGGCAAGAUCUUAAAACCAUCAACUGUUCUCUGUUCACUCUGUGAACUUCUUUCUACUUUACUUCCUUCUCUACCUCACCUGUACUCUAUAGUCACUCACUUCAAUGACACUUAAAGAGCAUUCACUCUCAGAUCACUUUUCUCCUUUCCUUGCCCAUUCUUAUCUUGCCAACUCCCAGUCCUGGAUAAAUCCAAACAUCCACGUUCUUUGUGCAUCCGUGUUGCUCAGUGCUGCUGGGGAACAUUUUCACAACUGCUGUUGGAACCAUUGUGAGUUUACACAUUCCAGCCUCUGCAACGCCUUUAUUUUCCAUCUAAUCUUUCCUAGCAGAGAUUUCUAUUUGUUUUGUUUUGGUUUGAGACAGAGUCUCGCUCUGUCUGGCAGGCUGGGGUGCAGUGGCACGAUCUCAGCUCACUGCAACCUCCGCCUCCUGGGCUCAGGUAAUCCUCCCGCCUCUGCCUCCCAAAAUGCUGGGAUUACAGGCGUGAGCCACCACGCCCGGUGUCAGAGAUGUCUUAUUAAAGAUCCCCUUCUUCUCUUCUUCCUCUCUUCUCCCACUAAAUAGAAACUCUCCUAACUUUCCUUCCCUCUACUUUAGGUCUGUCUUUACAUAGUCUGCUAUUUUCAAGAAGAGUUUGACCUGCCCUAGGUUCUCAUGUGCUUGAAUUUCCCCCUGUCUAUUGAGGGCCUUGUCCCAUUCCAUCUUCCCUUCUAGAUAUCUCUCAUCUAGAUAAUCUCAAGAUCUAUCCAUUGAUUCUUUUUUAAUCAGUGUACUGAGAGGAAGAAAGAGGGCAAGGAAAUACAUACUUAUGAAGUAUCUUACCGGGUACUAGAUACUUUACAUGUUUUCCUCAAGCAUUUACUGAGGAAUGCCAGGGCCUUGAAUACAGAUCAAAGUACCUGGCUCUGCUGGGCGCAGAGGCUCAUGCCUGUAAUCCCAGCACUUUGGGAGGCCAAGGUGGGUGGAUCACUUGAAGUCAGGAGUUCAAGACUGGCCUGACCAACAUGGUGAAAUCCCAUCACUGCUAAGAAAAUACAACAUUAGCCGGGCGUGGUGGCACACGCCUGUAAUCCUAGCUACUUGGGGGGCUGAGGCAGGAGAUUUGCUUGAACCCGGGAGGCAUAGGUUGCAAUGAGCCAAGAUCGCACCACUGCACUCCAGCCUGGACAACAAGAGCAAAACUCCAUCUC
rnacentral:lncRNA from 1 species